GGGCGCACGGUGGAUGCCUUGACACUAGGAGUCGAUGAAGGACGGGACUAACGCCGAUAUGCUUCGGGGAGCUGUAAGUAAGCUUUGAUCCGAAGAUUUCCGAAUGGGGAAACCCACCAUACGUAAUGGUAUGGUAUCCUUAUCUGAAUACAUAGGGUAAGGAAGACAGACCCAGGGAACUGAAACAUCUAAGUACCUGGAGGAAGAGAAAGCAAAUGCGAUUUCCUGAGUAGCGGCGAGCGAAACGGAACAUAGCCCAAACCAAGAGGCUUGCCUCUUGGGGUUGUAGGACAUUCUAUACGGAGUUACAAAGGAACGAGGUAGACGAAGCGACCUGGAAAGGUCCGUCGUAGAGGGUAACAACCCCGUAGUCGAAACUUCGUUCUCUCUUGAAUGUAUCCUGAGUACGGCGGAACACGUGAAAUUCCGUCGGAAUCUGGGAGGACCAUCUCCCAAGGCUAAAUACUCCCUAGUGAUCGAUAGUGAACCAGUACCGUGAGGGAAAGGUGAAAAGCACCCCGGAAGGGGAGUGAAAGAGAUCCUGAAACCGUGUGCCUACAAAUAGUCAGAGCCCGUUAACGGGUGAUGGCGUGCCUUUUGUAGAAUGAACCGGCGAGUUACGAUCCCGUGCGAGGUUAAGCUGAAGAGGCGGAGCCGCAGCGAAAGCGAGUCUGAAUAGGGCGUUUAGUACGUGGUCGUAGACCCGAAACCAGGUGAUCUACCCAUGUCCAGGGUGAAGUUCAGGUAACACUGAAUGGAGGCCCGAACCCACGCACGUUGAAAAGUGCGGGGAUGAGGUGUGGGUAGCGGAGAAAUUCCAAUCGAACCUGGAGAUAGCUGGUUCUCCCCGAAAUAGCUUUAGGGCUAGCCUUAAGUGUAAGAGUCUUGGAGGUAGAGCACUGAUUGGACUAGGGGUCCUCAUCGGAUUACCGAAUUCAGUCAAACUCCGAAUGCCAAUGACUUAUCCUUAGGAGUCAGACUGCGAGUGAUAAGAUCCGUAGUCAAAAGGGAAACAGCCCAGACCGCCAGCUAAGGUCCCAAAGUGUGUAUUAAGUGGAAAAGGAUGUGGAGUUGCUUAGACAACUAGGAUGUUGGCUUAGAAGCAGCCACCAUUUAAAGAGUGCGUAAUAGCUCACUAGUCGAGUGACUCUGCGCCGAAAAUGUACCGGGGCUAAAUACACCACCGAAGCUGCGGAUUGAUACCAAUGGUAUCAGUGGUAGGGGAGCGUUCUAAGGACAGUGAAGUCAGACCGGAAGGACUGGUGGAGUGCUUAGAAGUGAGAAUGCCGGUAUGAGUAGCGAAAGACGGGUGAGAAUCCCGUCCACCGAAUGCCUAAGGUUUCCUGAGGAAGGCUCGUCCGCUCAGGGUUAGUCAGGACCUAAGCCGAGGCCGACAGGCGUAGGCGAUGGACAACAGGUUGAUAUUCCUGUACCACCUCUUUAUCGUUUGAGCAAUGGAGGGACGCAGAAGGAUAGAAGAAGCGUGCGAUUGGUUGUGCACGUCCAAGCAGUUAGGCUGAUAAGUAGGCAAAUCCGCUUAUCGUAAAGGCUGAGCUGUGAUGGGGAAGCUCCUUAUGGAGCGAAGUCUUUGAUUCCCCGCUGCCAAGAAAAGCUUCUAGCGAGAUAAAAGGUGCCUGUACCGCAAACCGACACAGGUAGGCGAGGAGAGAAUCCUAAGGUGUGCGAGAGAACUCUGGUUAAGGAACUCGGCAAAAUGACCCCGUAACUUCGGGAGAAGGGGUGCUUUCUUAACGGAAAGCCGCAGUGAAUAGGCCCAAGCGACUGUUUAGCAAAAACACAGCUCUCUGCGAAGCCGUAAGGCGAAGUAUAGGGGGUGACACCUGCCCGGUGCUGGAAGGUUAAGGAGAGGGGUUAGCGUAAGCGAAGCUCUGAACUGAAGCCCCAGUAAACGGCGGCCGUAACUAUAACGGUCCUAAGGUAGCGAAAUUCCUUGUCGGGUAAGUUCCGACCCGCACGAAAGGUGUAACGAUUUGGGCACUGUCUCAACCAGAGACUCGGUGAAAUUAUAGUACCUGUGAAGAUGCAGGUUACCCGCGACAGGACGGAAAGACCCCGUGGAGCUUUACUGUAGCCUGAUAUUGAAUUUUGGUACAGUUUGUACAGGAUAGGCGGGAGCCAUUGAAACCGGAGCGCUAGCUUCGGUGGAGGCGCUGGUGGGAUACCGCCCUGACUGUAUUGAAAUUCUAACCUACGGGUCUUAUCGACCCGGGAGACAGUGUCAGGUGGGCAGUUUGACUGGGGCGGUCGCCUCCUAAAGUGUAACGGAGGCGCCCAAAGGUUCCCUCAGAAUGGUUGGAAAUCAUUCGUAGAGUGCAAAGGCAUAAGGGAGCUUGACUGCGAGACCUACAAGUCGAGCAGGGACGAAAGUCGGGCUUAGUGAUCCGGUGGUUCCGCAUGGAAGGGCCAUCGCUCAACGGAUAAAAGCUACCCCGGGGAUAACAGGCUUAUCUCCCCCAAGAGUCCACAUCGACGGGGAGGUUUGGCACCUCGAUGUCGGCUCAUCGCAUCCUGGGGCUGUAGUCGGUCCCAAGGGUUGGGCUGUUCGCCCAUUAAAGCGGUACGCGAGCUGGGUUCAGAACGUCGUGAGACAGUUCGGUCCCUAUCCGUCGUGGGCGUAGGAAAUUUGAGAGGAGCUGUCCUUAGUACGAGAGGACCGGGAUGGACGCACCGCUGGUGUACCAGUUGUUCUGCCAAGGGCAUAGCUGGGUAGCUAUGUGCGGAAGGGAUAAGUGCUGAAAGCAUCUAAGCAUGAAGCCCCCCUCAAGAUGAGAUUUCCCAUAGCGUAAGCUAGUAAGAUCCCUGAAAGAUGAUCAGGUUGAUAGGUUCGAGGUGGAAGCAUGGUGACAUGUGGAGCUGACGAAUACUAAUAGAUCGAGGACUUAACCAU
rnacentral:rRNA from 1 species